GAUGAACGCUGGCGGCGUGCUUAACACAUGCAAGUCGAACGGUGAACACGGAGCUUGCUCUGUGGGAUCAGUGGCGUACGGGUGAGUAACACGUGAGCAACCUGCCCCUGACUCUGGGAUAAGCGCUGGAAACGGCGUCUAAUACUGGAUAUGUGACGUGACCGCAUGGUCUGCGUUUGGAAAGAUUUUUCGGUUGGGGAUGGGCUCGCGGCCUAUCAGCUUGUUGGUGAGGUAAUGGCUCACCAAGGCGUCGACGGGUAGCCGGCCUGAGAGGGUGACCGGCCACACUGGGACUGAGACACGGCCCAGACUCCUACGGGAGGCAGCAGUGGGGAAUAUUGCACAAUGGGCGCAAGCCUGAUGCAGCAACGCCGCGUGAGGGAUGACGGCCUUCGGGUUGUAAACCUCUUUUAGCAGGGAAGAAGCGAAAGUGACGGUACCUGCAGAAAAAGCGCCGGCUAACUACAUG
rnacentral:rRNA from 1 species